rnacentral:rRNA from 1 species
AACGCGAAGAACCUUACCUGGGCUCGAAGCACAGUGGACCGGGGUAGAAAUAUCCCUUUUCGCAAGAACUGCUGUGGAGGUGCUGCAUGGCUGUCGUCAGCUCGUGUCGUGAGAUGUUGGGUUAAGUCCCGCAACGAGCGCAACCCUUAUCGUUAGUUGCCAGCGAGUCAAGUCGGGCACUCUAGCGAAACCGCCUCGGAUAACGGGGAGGAAGGUGGGGAUGACGUCAAGUCCUCAUGGCCUUUAUGUCCAGGGCUACACACGUGCUACAAUGGUCGGUACAAAGGGUUGCGAGACCGCAAGGUGGAGCGAAUCCCAAAAAGCCGGUCUCAGUUCGGAUUGGGGUCUGCAACUCGACCCCCAUGAAGUCGGAGUCGCUAGUAAUCGCGAAUCAGCAACGUCGCGGUGAAUACGUUCCCGGGCCUUGUACACACCGAGACGAC